UUAUUGUCUGUACUGGUGAGAUGAGUCUCUACCUUCUGAGGAACUUUCAUGCCAUUUAUUUGGUGUGGUUGGAAAUCAGGACUGUUACUUUGAAAAGAUUAGAGUGUUUAAAGCAGGCUAACGUCUGAAUACAUUAGCAUGGAAUAAUGAAAUAGGACGGAUUGAUUCUAUUUCGUUGGUUUCUAGGGUCACCGUAAUGAUUAAUAGGGAUAGUUGGGGGCAUUAGUAUUCAAUUGUCAGAGGUGAAAUUCUUGGAUUUAUUGAAGACUAACUACUGCGAAAGCAUUUGCCAAGGAUGUUUUCAUUAAUCAAGAACGAAAGUUAGGGGAUCGAAGACGAUCAGAUACCGUCGUAGUCUUAACCAUAAACUAUGCCGACUAGGGAUCGGACGCAGUUAAUUUUAUAAUGACGUGUUCGGCACCUUACG
rnacentral:rRNA from 1 species